rnacentral:snRNA from 1 species
AUCGCUUCUCGGCCUUUUGGCUAAGAUCAAGUGAGUAU